rnacentral:rRNA from 1 species
CCCUUAGAUGUCCUGGGCCGCACGCGCGCUACGCUGAUGCAUGCAACGAGUUUAUAACCUUGGCCUGAAAGGUCUGGGUAAUCUUUUGAACGUGCAUCGUGAUAGGGAUAGAUUAUUGCAAUUGUUAAUCUUGAACGAGGAAUUCCUAGUAAACGCGAGUCAUCAGCUCGCAUUGAUUACGUCCCUGCCCUUUGUACACACCGCCCGUCGCACCUACCGAUUGAAUGGUUCGGUGAAGAUCUCGGACUUCGAUAUUUAUUCUUUAUUGAGUUUAUAUUGUGGGAAGUUAUCUAAACCUCAUCAUUUAGAGGAAGGUGAAGUCGUAACA